AAUAAUGGUGGGACGUAGCGGGGGGGCUGAAAAGCUCGCCGGAUUUCUUGUUGACCGGUCUUGCAGCCCUGUUACGUCUCGCCACCAUG
rnacentral:antisense_RNA from 1 species